UACGUAGGUGGCAAGCGUUGUCCGGAUUUACUGGGCGUAAAGGGCGUGCAGGCGGUUUGUUAAGUGCAGGGUGAAAGCUCCCGGCUCAACUGGGAGAGGUCCUUGCAUACUGGCAAAUUCGAGGGAGGCAGAGGAAAGUGGAAUUCCCGGUGUAGUGGUGAUAUGCGUAGAUAUCGGGAGGAACACCUGUGGCGAAGGCGGCUUUCUGGGCCUUACCUGACGCUGAGACGCGAAAGCGUGGGGAGCGAACCGG
rnacentral:rRNA from 1 species